CACACACACACACACACACACACACACACACACACACACACACACACACACACACACCAAAUUAUUAAUUGAUUCUGUAUUGAAGGACCAUUUUUUGCCUGAAAUGAUGUGCAACCUUUGGCUUCGUACAUCUAUGCCCCUAUGGCAUGGCAUGUCAUCACUGUGGGAUUUAUGUAUGCUUUUUUUAUUAUUAUUGCAUUAUAGGGUUAUAUUCUAUUGGCUGCUGUAAUAAGUGAAUCUCCCAUGAUUGGCCACGCACUCUGGCUGGGGGUGAACUGUUUUGUACUUUAAUGCAAUAUAAAUGUUAGUGUCUAUGUUGAUGUAUGUACUGUGUUAUCUUGUAGUGUCAUAUAAUUUUAGAUUGGAUGCCAUAAAAAUCAUUACAUUCCUCCCAAUAUAAUUACAGAGAGGCAUAUUGCCUUUCUGUAACAUGAAUAUCAUGUUGAGACAUAAGGAUAGAGGGCCAACCCAGUACCAACCCAUAUGACACCAUUGUACUACAUAACUACAUCUGCCAUGCUUAUGAUUAUAGUUUGCACAUUUAAAACCAAGCUCAAUGAGUGCCCGAGAAUCUGUGAUGUAAUCAAGCCCAAUUCUUGUUUCAAAGCGUAUAGCGCAAUUACAUCCUAAUUUGACUUUUCUACGAUUUGUGUUUUUAUGUUCGAAAAUUUACUUUGUUUGAAGCUUUCCCCAAUUUAGUGUGGGAUCCAUAUAGCGUGACUUCUAGAAGCACAGCUUCCCUCAUUGUGGACGCAAACAAACCGCAAUGCCUUGCAUGAUAAGGUUAGCCUCAAAACAUAGCCUCGUUCUCAAAAAUGACCAAAUAGUGGACAUGGUCGUGUUCAGUAGAAGUAGACAAAUAUGUUUAUGCACAACAUGUGAGACUGUGAAGAAAAGGGGGGGGGGGGGGCUACGUUUUUAAAACGAACAGGAAUAAUCAUACAUAGGCAAAAAAAAACUGUCUGUUCACAGGCAAGGUUGGCCUUGGAUACACUGCAUGUUAGGCAGCAAAUACACUCUUGCUUACAGAGAAAAGGACAGGCUUAUAUUUGUUGGAUGCCUGGAUCAAUGGGAUAGUGAUUAGCCCUGUUCAAAAACAGUUGCCUAAAUCUUUUUACAUCCAGCGUGACAGCGUUGCUCACAACCGAGCUAUGGUAAUAGAAGACCUUAAGAAAAAGGAAUUCCUUCCAACAAAAGUUGUGGAAUUAAAUUCAUCUGCGUUAAAGGCUGUGUUGCAGGGUUUAUUUUCCAACGAACUUGUACAAUUUGCUUGUUGGUAAUAAAGAUUAAAACUGUUAUCCAUUGUAUUUAAUGUUGUUAGGUAUCAAAAAACGGAAUGUAAUACGAAAAAGUAGCUACUAUUUUAGUGGUUUGCUAUUGAUUCUCAUUUCCCCCAGAAUGCAUUGCAUGACGUCACGUUGGGGAGACACGGACCAAAGCCGCAUCGAGACCCUUGAGAGUAGAGGCUAGUAAAAGAGUGUUCAGUAGAUUAUACAGAUACAUAGAUAAAUACAUAGAUAUCAUAUAUAGUUAGUGUAUGCUACACGUGAACCUCCUAAGAUGGCGCAGUUUGAUUGGUUCGCUAUCUCAGGAUUAGGGUUGGGCACCGAGAACCGGUUCCAAAAGGAACCGGUUCCUAACGUCCGGUUCUGGAACUGUUAAGACGAUGUUUGAAUUUCGAUUCUUUUUAUCGGUUCCUAAAUGCGCGCGCAUGUUUCCGGGGCGGGGUUUGUAUUACUCCGCCGCGUGCUCCGCUAAACAUCAGUUGUCUGAAGUUCGAACAUGGACCGCAAAACGCCGCUCAAAAGUCUGGCUUCAUUUUAAUUUAAUAAAGGACGGCUUCGCACAGUGCAACACCUGCAAUAAACUUAUUACUGCCAAAGGAGGGUGCACAACAAACAUGAUAAAACACCUUCGCCUGCUGCAUGGUAUAACAAUUAACGAGUGUAGUGUGUUUGACGCGUUGCGUCGGUCUCGUGCUCCCGUCGCUUCCUCCACUUUGGACAGUCAACCAUCAGCUAGUAACUCCUCAUUGGAAACGGAAUCAGUUGUUGAACGCUCGCAGAGUGAUGCUAACGUUAACGUUAGCCAGUCUGAGCCUGCUGCGGCUGCUGCUGCUACGUUAACCGGCCCGAGACCCCAGCCAGCAAAGAUACAACAAACUCCUUUCAGCAUGGCAGCAAGGGGAAAGCUGUCAGCGGAGCAAAUUGCUGAGUGCCACAGAAAAGUAACGGCGUAUGUGGUAAAAAGGCUGCAUCCCUUUAGCGACGUCGAGUCGCCCACAUUUAGGGAUAUGAUCCAUUCAAUAAACCCGAAGUACACCCCCCCUACAAGGGAGUGUUUAACUAAUAGAUUGAUCCCGGCAUGGUACCAGAUAGAAAAAUCUAAUCUGAUCUCAGAGCUGAGUGAGGUCAGUCACAUAGCUCUCACUUGUGAUGGCUGGACUAGCCUAACCCAAGACCACUACCUAACUGUCACAGUGCACUAUUUAGUGGAAAGCAACAUGAGGCAGAAAGUUCUCGCAACAAAAGCUGUGUACAGGGCCCAGACAGGAAUUGUCGUGGCAGAGGAAAUCGGCGACAUCCUGAAAGAAUUUGGCGUGUUUGAUAAAGUAGUAGCCGUUACUGUGGAUAAUGCGGCCAAUAUGGACGUAGCCAUCAAACGGCUGCAGUUUGUGAAGCUCGGCUGCUUCGCUCAUUCACUAAACCUAGCAGCACAAAGUCUGUACUCCAGCAGCUCAGUGGCUCAGUGGACUGCAAAGAUUCGUGCCAUCAUCAUCUGGAUGAAGAGGUCGUCCAUGGCGAAGGUGGUUCUACGGGAAAAGCAGGAUGUCCUAAACCUCCCUCAACAUUCACUGAUUCUCGAUGUGAGAACAAGGUGGAAUUCUCUCUACCUAAUGAUGGAGAGAUUCCUUGAACAAUACCCUGCAAUACAAGCAGCCAGCUUGGACCAACGCCUGAGAAAGAAUAUGGAGAGGGACAGGCUUGAUCGGCUGACAGAUGGUGAUUUCACCAAGGCAGAAGACUUCAUCAGGCUGAUGCAGGUUCUAUACACCUGCACGCUCUGUGUUUCCACUGAAAGAAGCCCAACUGCCGGACAGAUCCUGCCGAUCAUCCAAAAGCUGGAGAAACACUUCGCUGCUGUAAAUGGAGACACAGCAUUUGUAGCUGACUUGAAGAAAAGGGUCUGGGGAAACAUGUCUACCCGGUACAAGUUUUGUUUUUAUUGUUUUAAAGAAUGAGGACAUCAGGUUCUUCUUGGAAGAAGCCACUGCCUCAGAUCCCCGCUUCAAGAAUAAGAUGGACAACAACACCGCAGUCUGGGAACGGAUCAAGGGGAAGUUGCUGGCAAACUCUGAAGAGUCGGUGGCAGUCAAUCAUGACAAUUCAGAAGAGGUUGGUGUGAUGCAGGGCGAGGGAAACCAGGAAGGUGUGAAGACUGAGAGCGAGGAGGAAGAGGAGAAUCAGCCUCCUCCUUCCAAACAAUCGAAAAAGUCUCCACUGGAGGAGCUUUUUGCUGAGGAGGAUGCCAUGAAGAGGACCUCACAAGAGGGGUUGAUGUCCAUGGAAAGUCGUGCUGAAAGGGAGAUCCAGACGUACCUGGAAACGCCACCAAUCAUCACAUCGUCUGACCCUGCAGCCUGGUUCUGGACCCAGACACAAACUUAUCCUUUACUGUCAUGUCUGGCCUUCUCAUAUUUAUGUGUCCAGGCCUCCUCAACACCUAGUGAACGGGUGUUUUCUACUGCAGGAAACACAAUCUGUGCGGAACGGUCGCGCUUACUGCCUGAGAAGGCAGACAUGAUAAUCUUCCUAAACAAGAACUGUUGUUAAUGAUUUGUCACAACUGCGCCAGGGUUUGAGUUUGUUUUAUUUUGUUACACAUACAUCCACCUGGGCUGCAGCUCUUUGCUUUUUAGACUGCUGCCAACUUGUGUCACUUCAGCAGAAUUCAGUUAUAGUUACAGUUAGGGACCCUCGGCAAUGUGAAUAAAUAAAAUGGCCUGUGUAAAGGCUUUUUCAAAUGAAAAAAUUCUUGUCUUUUUUUUCUCCUGCACCUCAAAGAAUCGGAAUCGAGAAUCGUUUAGAACAGGAAUCGAUAUUGAGAAUCGGAAUCGGAAUCAGAAUCGUUAAAAUCCAAACGAUGCCCAACCCUACUCAGGAUAUUGGGCAAUAUCCCAUGAUUGACAUCUCAAACUCGAUAUUGUUUUCAUCGCAAAAUGUCUGCGAAUAAAAUUUAAUAAACCGCUAAUAAAAACAAAUAAAUACCGGCAAAAAGCGUUAUCUUGUAUAUUUUUGGACUGUUCACGUGUAGUAUAUAGCCUACUAUAACAUUUAAUUAACAAUUAUUCACCUCAGGCUCCGUGAGUAGUGGGGAAUAGCUAUUCCCUACUAUUCUCUUCGCCUUCGGCGUAUAAUUGUUAAUUAAUAGCCUAGAUAGAUAGCCUCGUCAAGUCUUUAUUAAUACCAAACAAGGAUUUAAUUUAGGUGAUUAGGCUCACCCAGGACAGUAUAGCCUACAAGACCACACAGAACAAGGGAAGCAACAAAUCUGACUGGACAAACACUAAAUACAUCAAAUUAGAACUAGACGCAAGCAUUGAUCGAUAGAUAGACAGAUAGAAAGAUCAUUAAAUAUGUUCUAUUAUUUGCCUUGCGGAGCCAGCCAGUCCUGUGCACAUAUGCAAAUUAGCCAUGUGUGCCUAACUGAAGAAAGACGAUUGUUUUGCAUAAGAUGAGUGUGUGCGACUGUGCGUAUGUCCUUUCCGGCUUCGGCAUACUGCAUGGUUAUGAAGGCCUCGUGGUUAGUUGUGCCUUAGUGAAGCAGUCCAGCCUUUGAGCUGGAUAAGUAGGAGUGAUUGUGUACGGGCGUGUGAGAGUGAUAGAGAGAGCACACCCACCAUGGUGAUGUUUAGCUUGUUGUGGGCUGUCUGUCAGCAUCCACCAGGUUGGAUGAAUGUGCUUUGUGCAUGUGUUCAAUGUACAUUUGUCUGAUAGUAUUUGCGGCAGAUUGAUGAUUAAUUAAUGUCACUCCAAGGUCAUACUUGAGGGCACUAAUUUGCAAGUGCACUGAUUGCGUGUCCGAUUGGCUAUACCUGCCAUUUAGUCAGUUGAUUGCUCUUCUAAGCUCGCCAGAUUGGUGCCAAUUAUUGUCGUGCUUGCAUUGUAAUGCACAACUUUGUCUCUCCUUGUAAUAAAUCAACGGGCAUUCCAAACAACUUUAGCUAAUGCAGCCUCCUAUGUCAGUGUUGCUUUAAAAUAUAUAGCAUAUUGGAUUAUAAAAAAGUGUUACGUGUGUGCGUGUACGUGUUGUCAUGCAGGCUAAAUACUGAUUGUCUUGGCUUGCAUCCAUGAAAUAUUGUAAUUUUAUAGGCCUACUGCAAAAUGUAUGU